rnacentral:lncRNA from 1 species
AAAGUAGAUUACAGAGUUAACAGGUUGAAUUUAAGCGAGCACGCAAAUGCCUCUAACAGCUGACGAUUGCUCUCUUUCCGGUGGUUCAACGAUAUUAGAGAAAUUCGCACGUUGUCUCCACACGUGGUAACGCGCAGCUAAAUAUACGCGACUAAUGACUGUUACGAAAUGUCAAGCAGAAGCUACCGAGUAGUGGGUCAGUCGUAAAGUCAGAUUCUGUUUCGCGUGUGUUCCCUAACAAGCGAUUAGUUUCGAGGAGAAAGGUGUCGAUUUUCAAUGGGUAUCGAUUUUCAAUGGGUAUCGAUGAUCGAGUCUGUACGCAACAAAAUAGUUGUACUCACUACAUUUUAACUUUAUUUAAGUAGAUACUUACGUUACAAAAUAAAUUAGACAUAAAAUAAAUUGCCCGCCAAUAACAAUUCUUUGCAAUGUGAAGACUUAGAAAGUUCUAUCGCGAGAUAUGUGAAGCGGAAAAACUUAGAAUUGACCCUCUCAACUGGAGGCGAGACAAAAACAGCGUACGGAUCUUUAAGAUGAAAUAUACAGUGGCUUAUUUUUAGUCACAUUUUAUGAACACAUUAUGUGCGUUAUACGAAAUAUUUUUAAAUUGUAUUAACACUGUUAUGAGACUUGGCUAUCAUGAUUAUGUUAAUCAAAUAUGAAACAAGUCUGAAAAUACAUAUAGAAAUUACAAGAUAUUUAGCAUCUACGAGUAUAUAAUUCACAGAGAUAACAAAAGCAUUUAAACAGUCAAUUAUCGAUUACAUUAAUAAAACUCGAUAUUCAGUUGGUCUAUCUUUAACAAAUAUUGUAUAUGCUUAAGAUGGCUAUUUAUGCUGUAUACUAAUUUCUUACUAAAUAUCAGUUUACAGUAAAUAUCUUGCAACUUGUAUAUACAUUUCAGAUUUCAAAUUGUACCGAUAUAAUCAUAUGUUGUUAUUAAUACCAAUGGAAUAUCAAAAUGUUUUACAUAACAUAUACAAUACGCACAUAAAAGUUUUCUAUGGGGGUUAUUGAGGAAAUCGAUGAUGGAGAUCUAUUCUUUGCCGGAGGAACAAGCUAGUAGAAGGAAAUAUCGACGAAAGUUCGCUGGCGGCUGGCGUAUACUGCGCAAAUGCUCUCCCGCCUCUCGGAAUAUUACUUGGUUGCCCAAGGUUGCCGUUCGUUCUGCUCACGACUCGAGCAUUAUGCACGUGUAUAGAUAUAUCAGCUACGCACUUACAGCAAUAUACCUCUACACCAACGUAUUUACGAUACACGCUUAGAAGAUCUAUCUCUUUAUCGUGCACAUACACCAGGAGAAUGACUCUAACAGGUUGAACCGAGACAAAGUCGAGCUGAAAAACGAGAUUGGGAAACUCUGUAAGCGCAAUGCACCUAUUCUUUGUUCAUUUCUCGGCUUUUAAGAGCGUGCCUCGCAUCGGUGCACGGCAAUUAUUGACGUGUGUGUGAAAACCAAGAGAUACACCGAGCACCGUAUAUUCUAUGUAUGUAUAUACGAGAGUAUAUGCGCGUCUGAUUGGUACCAGGACUACCAGGGCCUCUCCCUUCCGAACAAACGACGAUGGUUCAAGUUGGUCGCUUGCACGACAUGGAUCAACGAUUUAACGUGAACAGAAAACAGAACAGUCUCUCUCGAUCUCUGCGGUCAGAUCGUUCCAAAUCGAUCGAUCGCUUCCCCGAUACGCGGAAUCUCACUUUCUCUGAAACUCUGUUUUCUUUUCCCUUUGUCUUGCUGCUCACCGUGAAGCAUGUUUUGAGAAUUAAUCGAGAUAUAAAAACAAUAUCAGGCAAAUCUUAAUUCGAAAAUGGAAGAAUAAUUACUUAUCCACUUGGAGAAAUCAUUUUCCAUGAAGAAGAAAAAUACGGGUAGUUCCUGUUUCUUUUAGAAUGUUCGUUGGUAAGAAACGGUAAUACAAAAAACCAUUCGUAAUUUUUAUGUUAACGAAUGAGUAAAUUAAUUACUUCCCGUUUCAUAGCGUUUUAAAUAUGAAGACAUAUUCUCGUUCAUAUGUGUAUGUAAUAUGUUAUAUAGAUAUGACUGAGAUGUCAUUCGAUGAUAUUGAUAUCUUAUAUAUUUUAUUCAUUCAUAUACAUCUAUAUAUAACAUAUAAAUGUAUAUAUCAUUAUACACAUACGAACGACACGUUAUACGUAACAAAUCAUUGUCUUUCUAUAGUUGAGAAUCGAUUGAAAGUUUGUCCAUUUAUACUCUGAUUAAAUAAUGCACGACCGCGCAUGUUGCUUUCUAAUCAUUUAUUUACGCGAAUAUUUUCGAUGUGGAAACGCAUCUAUUAUAAUCGUAAACUUUAUAGAAGCAUCAUUCGUGGAGUUGAAUCGCUUUCGUUUACAUAAUCUACGUCUUCCGUAAGCACAGCGUGUAAAAUGACCGAUAGAAUUCCUGUAAAUGGAAAUUUUUAUUGAAUAAUCUCCACGAAGAGAUUGAUUCUUUACAAAGAACACGAUAAUAAUGACGUGUUAUCGCUAUUUCAUUUCAUUGAUUUCACAACCCAGAACAAUUACGAAGCAUCGAACAUUUGUAUUUUGUCAUGAAUGAUCAUGAAAAAUUAAGUAUAAAAUAUGUUAAUUCAAAUAAAAGAGAUACUUAUUUUUUGGAAUAAUUAUAGAAAAUGGAGAGUAUAGCAGUAAAUAAGUUAAUCAAAGAAAAUUAAGAAUCGAGAAAUUAAUGAUAUAAAAUCUGUAUUCGAAACGCUGCUGUUUAAUGCUGCAUAAAUUCGCGCUAUCUUAUGUCCGAACGUGUUAAAGUACUGUUCCUUUCAAUUGCGUUGGCCUUGAGGUUAGUAGACAAGGAACGACGCAAUUCUCACGAUUAAUGCUCUUUGUCCGAUCUUCUUUCACGCUCUAUUAUCGUUCGACUUUAUGUUGUAACGUACUCUGAAGGUUAAUAAAAGAAACUUCUAAUUUGUUCUUCUAUU